ACGGGUGAGUAACACGUGGGAACGUACCCUUUUCUACGGAAUAACCCAGGGAAACUUGGACUAAUACCGUAUGUGCCCUUCGGGGGAAAGAUUUAUCGGAAAAGGAUCGGCCCGCGUUGGAUUAGCUAGUUGGUGGGGUAAAGGCCUACCAAGGCGACGAUUCAUAGCUGGUCUGAGAGGAUGAUCAGCCACAUUGGGACUGAGACACGGCCCAAACUCCUACGGGAGGCAGCAGUGGGGAAUAUUGGACAAUGGGCGCAAGCCUGAUCCAGCCAUGCCGCGUGAGUGAUGAAGGCCUUAGGGUUGUAAAGCUCUUUCACCGGAGAAGAUAAUGACGGUAUCCGGAGAAGAAGCCCCGGCUAACUUCGUGCCAGCAGCCGCGGUAAUACGAAGGGGGCUAGCGUUGUUCGGAUUUACUGGGCGUAAAGCGCACGUAGGCGGAUCGAUCAGUCAGGGGUGAAAUCCCAGAGCUCAACUCUGGAACUGCCUUUGAUACUGUCGAUCUGGAGUAUGGAAGAGGUGAGUGGAAUUCCGAGUGUCGAGGUGAAAUUCGUAGA
rnacentral:rRNA from 1 species